UGAGUACGAGACGCUACGGCAUCGGAGCAGUCUAUGUCAUACUCCCAAGAAAAGCUUGCAAUGUCAUAAACAAAUAAUGCCUGUACCAUAACCGACACAGGUGGGUAGGUAGAGUAUACUAAGGGGCGCGAGAUAACUCUCUCUAAGGAACUCGGCAAAAUGACUCCGUAACUUCGGGAGAAGGAGUGCCUUAUUUUUAUAAGGUUGCAAUAACAAGAUCCAAGCAACUGUUUACCAAAAACACAGGUCUCCGCUAAGUCGUAAGACGAUGUAUGGGGGCUGACGCCUGCCCAGUGCCAGAAGGUUAAAGAAGUUGGUUAGCAUUAGCGAAGCUGAUAACUGAAGCCCUGGUGAACGGCGGCCGUAACUAUAACGGUCCUAAGGUAGCGAAAUUCCUUGUCGGGUAAGUUCCGACCUGCACGAAAGGCGUAAUGAUUUGGAUACUGUCUCGGAGAGGGGCUCGGUGAAAUAGACAUGUCUGUGAAGAUGCGGACUACCUGCACCUGGACAGAAAGACCCUAUGAAGCUUUACUGUAACUUGAGAUUGAAAUUGGACUUUAUCUGCGCAGUAUAGGUGGGAGACGUUGGAAAUAUUCUUGCGGGAAUAUUGGAGUCAUCAGUGAGAUACCACUCUUAUAAUGUUAGAUUUCUAACUUUGUAUCAUUAUCUGGUCAAAGAACAGUUUCAGGCGGGCAGUUUGACUGGGGCGGUCGCCUCCCAAACGGUAACGGAGGCGCACAAAGGUUUCCUCUGAACGUGUAGAAAUCGUAUCUAGAGUGUAAAGGCAUAAGGAAGCUUGACUGUGAGACCUACAAGUCGAGCAGGGACGAAAGUCGGUCUUAGUGAUCUGACGGUGCUGAGUGGAAAGGCCGUCACUCAACGGAUAAAAGUUACUCUAAGGAUAACAGGCUGAUCUCCCCCAAGAGUUCACAUCGACGGGGAGGUUUGGCACCUCGAUGUCGGCUCAUCGCAUCCUGGGGCGGUAGUACGUCCCAAGGGUUGGGCUGUUCGCCCAUGAAAGCGGUACGCGAGCUGGGUUCAGAACGUCGUGAGACAGUUCGGUCCAUAUCCGGUGUAGGCGUUAGAAUAUUGAGAGGAGCCUUCUUUAGUACGAGAGGACCGAGAAGGACAUACCUCUGGUGUACCAGUUAUCGUGCCAACGGUAAACGCUGGGUAGCCAUGUAUGGAGAGGAUAACCGCUGAAAGCAUCUAAGUGGGAAGCCCACCUCAAGAUAAGUAUUCUCAUC
rnacentral:rRNA from 1 species